UUAAAAUGAGAGUUUGAUCCUGGCUCAGGACGAACGCUGGCGGCGUGCCUAAUACAUGCAAGUCGAACGAAACUUUCUUACACCGAAUGCUUGCAUUCAUCGUAAGAAGUUGAGUGGCGGACGGGUGAGUAACACGUGGGUAACCUGCCUAAAAGAAGGGGAUAACACUUGGAAACA
rnacentral:rRNA from 1 species